rnacentral:lncRNA from 1 species
CUACAAGUCGUACACGAUCUCCAAUCCUUAUGACUUCGCCUCUCCAACUCCUCAAGGCCAACCAAAGCUAUCUGGCCGCUCCGUCCUCCAGGGACCUGAAAUGGUUAUUCAAUAACCACUGAGACAAUGUCUCAGCAAGUUCAACCCCCUAAACCCCUAUUAGAAAGAAAAUACGCCCAAGGGUGGCAUAGCCACAUCACACAGAGAACUUACCUCGCCUCAAUUCUUUCCUGCAGGUUAGCACAAUUUGUAUCACACAAUCUCAGGUAGUAAUAAUAAUUCAAACAAUUGGAACGCCAUCACUUUCAUAUAAAUCACGAUCGCACUUUGCACGCAUCCCAAUUAUUAUUCACUGCCACACAAUGGCAUAGCCUACUCGCGGGUCGGCUAUCUACUAACAUUACGGCAUUUCUAGAAGAAUGAAGGUCCAGUCGGUCCCGCCACUAUUGCGACCAAGCCACGUCAUUCUAUCGACGGCAUUUCUAGAAGAACAAAGGUCCAGUCGGUCUCGCCACUACUGCGACCAAGCCACGUCAUUCUAUCGAAGGCAUUUCUAGAAGAACAAAGGUCCAGUCGGUCUCGCCAUUACUGCGACCAAGCCACGUCAUUCUAUCGACGGCAUUUCUAGUAGAACAAAGGUCCAGUCGGUCUCGCCACUACUGCGACCAAGCCACGUCAUUCUAUCGACGGCAUUUCUAGAAGAACAAAGGUCCAGUCGGUCUCGCCACUACUGCGACCAAGCCACGUCAUUCUAUCGACGGCAUUUCUAAAAGAAUAAGGAUCCAGUCGGCCUAGCCACUACUGCGACCCGAGCCUUUCAACUAGCACAUGACAAUUCGAUACCGAUCCUUGGAUACUUUACAUUUCACUCACAUAAUCCAAUUACGAUAUUAGCCAUUAACAAUCCAAUUUCAAUGCCGAACUCGACACUUGGGAUUUUAUGAAUAAAAUCCAUAUUUAUCACAAUCAACACUCAAUUUGCCACAAUCAAUCAUUAAAUUCAGAUUCUAAAUACACAGCAGCGAUCGGCACGAAAUUCUGAGAGUUUAGGGUCCCGACGAAAUUUUUUGAAUUUUAAUAAAUAAUUAAUUUUAUUCGGAAAAUUAAUUAAAUAAUAAUAUCCAUAUUUUUCGCAAUCCACACUCAAUUUAUAAUAUCCAACCAUCAAUUUCAAAAUCCGAAUACACAGCAGCGAUCGGCACGAAAUUCUGAGCAACCGAGGUCAAAAAUAAUUUUUUCGUUUUUUUUAAUAUUAUUUUAAUAAUUUCGGAAUAUAAUAUAAUAUUAUAAAUUCCAGAAUUUCGAAACAUUUAAAUAAAUCAAAAAUAAAACCUAUUAUGUCACAUCAAUGUUUAUUAUUAAAUGAACUCUCUUAGCAUUUAAUUAAACAUGCUUUAAAUUAAACAAACCUCUUAAUCUAAGUCACAAUUAAAUAAACUAAACUAACCACCUAAGCUUAAUUAACUUAAGCUAAUCACACCUAAAGCAUAAUUAACCCUCUAAGCGAGGUUUAGUGAGUUAAACUCACCGGAUUAGCGAGCUGAGCGGACCAAAACGACGAGGACGACGAGGGGAUCGACUUUCUCCAAAGCGGGCCAAGCAUCCGGGCUCGGGAAGGCGGCCAAAACGGGCCAAACGUCCGCUGCAUACCCAUUUUUCUUGGCUGCUGGUUGGGGCCGAGAGGGAGUAGAUCUGGCGCCGGUUUGGGCGGAGGAACGGCGGAGGAGGACCGGCGGGGCUUGGGCGGGCGAGGCGGCGGCCAGGCGAGGCCUCACGGUGGCCGGAGGUGGCUAAUCCGCAGCCUACAGCAGCCCAUGGAGGCGAGGACGAGCUGGAUCUCGGCGGAUGAGGGCAGCAAGCCGGUGAGACCGGUGGAGCGGCGUGCGAGCAUCCUCGCACGGACGGGCGACGACCGUGACGACGACGGCGAACGGCGGUGGCCGCGAUGAACGAGCGGAAGGGGGCGUCGGGCUAGCUGGCCUGCUGCUGAGUGGCGAACGAAGGCUGGAGGAGGCGGAGGCGGUGCGACGACGAGCGAGCAUGGCGACGGGCAUGCGAGCAAACGGUGACCGCGACGGCGAGCUCCGGCGAACGAGCGGCGUCGAGCGGCGAAGGGCAGGCGUCCGGCCGGUUGGCUUGGUCCGGCCGAAGCUCUCCCUCCUCCUCUUUCUCUCUCUUCCAAAGGUUGAAGAAGAAG